ACCUUCGCAAUGCGCGCAAGCGCGACGAGGUUAUUCCGAGUGAUUUCCGCUGAGGAAAUCUUUUCUUAGAUCUAAAAUGUCUGGGGAAUAAGGGGAGGGCAAGUCUGGUGUCAGCCGCCGCGGUAAUACCAGCUCCUCGAGUGGUCAGGGCGUUUAUUGGGCCUAAAGCAUCCGUAGCCGGCUCGGUAGGUCUCCUGUUAAAUCCAACGGCUCAACCGUUGGUCUGCAGGAGAUACCGCUGGGCUAGGAGGCGGGAGAGGCGGACGGUACUCCGAGGGUAGGGGUAAAAUCCUUUGAUCCCCGGAAGACCACCAGUGGCGAAGGCGGUCCGCCAGAACGCGCUCGACGGUGAGGGAUGAAAGCUGGGGGAGCGAACCGGAUUAGAUACCCGGGUAGUCCCAGCUGUAAACGAUGCGAGCUAGGUGACACGGCGCCUUCGGGGCAUCGUGGUGCCGCAGGGAAGCCGUUAAGCUCGCCGCCUGGGGAGUACGGACGCAAGUCUGAAACUUAA
rnacentral:rRNA from 2 species